rnacentral:tRNA from 2 species
GCCGGGAUGGUGGAAUUGGCAGACACACGGGACUCAAAAUCCCGCGCCCCUAAAGGUGUACCGGUUCGAGCCCGGUUCUCGGUAUCA